rnacentral:rRNA from 1 species
AACGAACGCUGGCGGCGUGCCUAACACAUGCAAGUCGAACGAGACCUUCGGGCUUAGUGGCUCCUGGGUUGGUAACCGGUGGGGUUCUACCCUCGUGUUCGGCCUAACUCAUAGAGAUUUGAGCUAAUACCGGAUGAUAACGUAAGUCCAAAGAUGUAUCGCGUGAGGAUGGGCCCGCGUAGGAUUAGGUAGUUGUUUAGUUAAAGGCUCACCAAGCGGACGUUCCUUAGCUGGUCUGAGAGGAUGAUCAGCCACACUGGGACUGGGACACGGCCCAGACUCCUGCGGGAGGCAGCAGUAGUGAACAAUGGACGAUGGGCGAAUGCAGGAUCCAGCCGUGCCGGGUGAGUGAUGUAGGACUUAAGAUUGUGUAGGCCAUUGACCAGGGAUGAUUGUGACGGUACCGGGAGAAUAAGCGCCGGCUAACUACGUG